UGAGAAUGCAGUUUAGUUAUAUAGGAGCAUAAUUUUUGGGAGACAGGUUGGAAACAUAGCGAAUGAAAAACAAACAAACACACACUUUCUCAACACAUGAUCACAACAAUAUAUGCAAUGUAUUAAACUGUGAAUGUUGACAUUUUUUGACAUUUAAAUCUAAUGACAUAAAUCUGAGGAUUACCAUUAUUACCUCAACUGAGACUUAAGCUAUGAUGGGACCAUAAUACUAUCGGAGAUUGCAAGUCAUAUUGCAAAACUGAACAAAAAAUGUCAAACCAGUUUACGUCCACCAUAGUUUUUAGAUUUACAUAUCCAGUAUUUCUUUUAUUAUGUUGUAUAGCAUGUGGGUUACUUUUGCAAGUCCCAAAGUCAGAAUCAAAUGACUGGCUUGAAGCUUUAUUGUACAAAAGUUAUGGGGGAGAUAGCAUUAAAAAAAAAACAAAAAAAAAAACCCACAUAAUGAAAAUGAGUUAAUUACCAAAACUGUUCCAAUUUUUAGCCUACGAUUAAAGACAUAUUUUAGGAAACACAAGUUCAAAACAGAAGUGUUCUCUGGCCGUUUGACUACUGUCCUCAGAGGGUUUAUGAAUACAGGUCUGGACUAGUAUAAACUAACAGCAAAGCACCAUUAAAAACUAGAGCACAUUUUAUCCAGCCAGAGAGCGAGCUUCAGUAACAGACUUCACUUGAUAUUUAAGGCAAUGUAAGUUUAUAGAAUUGUUCCUCUCAAAGAAAAAGAAAAAAAAAGAGAAAAUAAGGAAAAUGCACAAUAAAGAUUUCUAUGUGCUGCAAAGAGAAGCUGCAGCAAACAAACUGGUUUAUACAAAUAAGACAUUUAACAGCAAACCUUAAUCUUAUGUGACAGCAAAAAUUAGCCAUUUGCUAUCCGGACACUCAUUCUGCUGUAAAAAAAAACAAACAAAAAAAAAAACAUGAGAGAAAGAAAAACACGUGUUUGGAAUCUACAAUAAUGACAUCUUAACCAAUUAAACUUAUCCAAAUUAUAUGAAGAGACACAUUUAUAAAACUAAAGGGGAUACCAACCCUAAAACAGAAUACACAUGUAAAUACCUAAAUCCUGGACAGUUGCUGUAACUGUCUCACUGAAACUACACCCAAAUGAUGACAUGUGACACUAUAUUACUGCAUAAAUGUAAAAAUAAAGUUGUAAUGUUGUUCAAAUGAGAACAAAAACUGAUUUAUAAAUGUUUAGAUAAAUCUGGGAGUCAGAAACUGCACUUAGGUUUCCUGGAAAAAAGAGUAAUAAAAAAUUGACCUCAUCAAACACAUGUUGG
ensembl:lncRNA